rnacentral:rRNA from 1 species
UCUUGACAUCCAGCGAAGCCUUUAGAGAUAGAGGCGUGCCUUCGGGAGCGCUGAGACAGGUGCUGCAUGGCUGUCGUCAGUUCGUGUUGUGAAAUGUUGGGUUAAGUCCCGCAACGAGCGCAACCCUUAUCCUUGUUUGCCAGCACAUAAUGGUGGGAACUCCAGGGAGACUGCCGGUGAUAAACCGGAGGAAGGUGGGGACGACGUCAAGUCAUCAUGGCCCUUACGAGUAGGGCUACACACGUGCUACAAUGGCAGAUACAGAGGGCAGCGAGACAGCGAUGUUAAGCGGAUCCCUUAAAGUUUGUCGUAGUCCGGAUUGGAGUCUGCAACUCGACUCCAUGAAGUCGGAAUCGCUAGUAAUCGUGGAUCAGAAUGCCACGGUGAAUACGUUCCCGGGCCUUAUACACACCGCCCGUCACACCAUGGGAGUGGGUUGCACCAGAAGUAGAUAGCUUAACCUUCGGGAGGGCGUUUACCACGGUGUGGUUCAUGAC